GAACGGGUGAGUAACACGUGGGUGAUCUGCCCUGCACUUUGGGAUAAGCCUGGGAAACUGGGUCUAAUACCGAAUAGGACCACGCGCUUCAUGGUGUGUGGUGGAAAGCUUUUGCGGUGUGGGAUGGGCCCGCGGCCUAUCAGCUUGUUGGUGGGGUAAUGGCCUACCAAGGCGACGACGGGUAGCCGGCCUGAGAGGGUGACCGGCCACACUGGGACUGAGAUACGGCCCAGACUCCUACGGGAGGCAGCAGUGGGGAAUAUUGCACAAUGGGCGCAAGCCUGAUGCAGCGACGCCGCGUGAGGGAUGACGGCCUUCGGGUUGUAAACCUCUUUCAAUAGGGACGAAGCGCAAGUGACGGUACCUAUAGAAGAAGCACCGGCCAACUACGUGCCAGCAGCCGCGGUAAUACGUAGUGUGCGAGCGUUGUCCGGAAUUACUGGGCGUAAAGAGCUCGUAGGUGGUUUGUCGCGUUGUUCGUGAAAACUCACAGCUUAACUGUGGGCGUGCGGGCGAUACGGGCAGACUAGAGUACUGCAGGGGAGACUGGAAUUCCUGGUGUAGCGGUGGAAUGCGCAGAUAUCAGGAGGAACACCGGUGGCGAAGGCGGGUCUCUGGGCAGUAACUGACGCCGAGGAGCGAAAGCGUGGGGAGCGAGCAGGAUUAGAUACCCUGGUAGUCCACGCCGUANACGGUGGGUACUAGGUGUGGGUUCCUUCCUUGGGAUCCGUGCCGUAGCUAACGCAUUAAGUACCCCGCCUGGGGAGUACGGCCGCAAGGCUAAAACUCAAAGGAAUUGACGGGGGCCC
rnacentral:rRNA from 1 species